UGCUGAGAUAGCCCCCCCCCCUUACUGUCCUUUCGCAUCCAGGGAGGAAAGGAUUUAAAAGGGGGUGGAGUGGGGGCUCUGAGCAAAUUGACAUUUCAGCCAAUGAAGCAAUGAAGGCCGAGGAAAAGAAACCAGUGGAGUGCUGCCCCCAAAACUAUGAGGGAAUCAGUGGAGUUGGAGAAAGCACACAGUGACUGAGUCUAUGCUGCUAACUGGAGAUGGAUCCAAAACUCUUGCCCAGUUCAUCAUCUCCCAUGGACCAGGUGAGUGCGAUGGUGGGAAAAUGGCCUUGCGGGCCAAAGUUAAGCAGACCGCUGGGGAGGUUUACUUUGACCCACAAAUUGGAGGAUCCCUGUUUGGUUGCCUGGGAUUUGCAGCCGUUUGUGCCACAACGCCUGGGUUCCGGUGUCCCUGGAGACACCAGAGAAUUCAAACGCGAUGCUUCAGAAGCAAAGUAGUUAUGGCAGUUGAGGUGAAGAGGUUCAGUUGAAGCAGCUUCAGAAGCAGGUUCAGGAGAACUAGGACGAUGAUAAGAAUGCUGUACUAUGCUGUACUUUUCUGAAUGGAUCCAAUUGUGGCUGCCAAAACACUCUCCACACUGCCAUCUACUGGGCCAGGGAUCCGUAGUUGAGAAACACUCUCCAAAUGUUGGAACCCACGGAGCAACUGGGAUUCAGAAGCAAUUCUGCCUUGGACCAUGGAGGGCAGAGCAAAGCGAUUGUGACUGGCAGCUAUGGACAGACUUUAUCUUCCAUGAAUUUGCCCAAUCCUCUUUUAAAGCCACCCGAGUUGCUGGCCAUCUCUGAUUCCUGUGGAAGGGAGUUCCAUAGGUUUGUUUUUUUUAA